rnacentral:rRNA from 1 species
AGGACGAACGCUGGCGGCGUGCUUAACACAUGCAAGUCGAGCGGAAAGGCCCUUCGGGGUACUCGAGCGGCGAACGGGUGAGUAACACGUGAGUAAUCUGCCCCUAGCUCUGGGAUAGCUCCGGGAAACCGGGAUUAAUACCGGAUACGACCACCUUAGACAUCUUUUGUGGUGGAAAGAAUUUCGGCUAGGGAUGAGCUCGCGGCCUAUCAGCUUGUUGGUGGGGUAACGCCUACCAAGGCGACGACGGGUAGCCGGCCUGAGAGGGCGACCGGCCACACUGGGACUGAGACACGGCCCAGACUCCUACGGGAGGCAGCAGUGGGGAAUAUUGCGCAAUGGGCGAAAGCCUGACGCAGCGACGCCGCGUGGGGGAUGAAGGCCUUCGGGUUGUAAACCCCUUUCAGCAGGGACGAGGCGAAAGUGACGGUACCGUGCAGAAGAAGCGCCGGCUAACUACGCGCCAGCAGCCGC